UAGCUAGUUGGUGAGGUAACGGCUUACCAAGGCGACGAUCUGUAGCGGGUCUGAGAGGAUGAUCCGCCACACUGGAACUGAGACACGGUCCAGACUCCUACGGGAGGCAGCAGUGGGGAAUUUUGGACAAUGGGGGCAACCCUGAUCCAGCCAUGCCGCGUGAGUGAAGAAGGCCUUCGGGUUGUAAAGCUCUUUCGGCCGGGAAGAAAUCGCAUGGGCCAAUACCCUGUGUGGAUGACGGUACCGGAAUAAGAAGCACCGGCUAACUACGUGCCAGCAGCCGCGGUAAUACGUAGGGUGCGAGCGUUAAUCGGAAUUACUGGGCGUAAAGCGUGCGCAGGCGGUUUUGUAGGACAGGCGUGAAAUCCCCGGGCUCAACCUGGGAACUGCGUUUGUGACUGCAAGGCUAGAGUACGGCAGAGGGGGGUGGAAUUCCACGUGUAGCAGUGAAAUGCGUAGAGAUGUGGAGGAACACCAAUGGCGAAGGCAGCCCCCUGGGUCGAUACUGACGCUCAUGCACGAAAGCGUGGGUAGCAAACAGGAUUAGAUACCCUGGUAGUCCACGCCCUAAACUAUGUCAACUAGGUGUUGGGUGGGUAAAACCAUUUAGUACCGUAGCUAACGCGUGAAGUUGACCGCCUGGGGAGUACGGCCGCAAGGUUAAAACUCAAAGGAAUUGACGGGGACCCGCACAAGCGGUGGAUGAUGUGGAUUAAUUCGAUGCAACGCGAAAAACCUUACCUACCCUUGACAUGCCAGGAACUUGCCAGAGAUGGCUUGGUGCCCGAAAGGGAGCCUGGACACAGGUGCUGCAUGGCUGUCGUCAGCUCGUGUCGUGAGAUGUUGGGUUAAGUCCCGCAACGAGCGCAACCCUUGUCGUUAAUUGCCAUCAUUUAGUUGGGCACUUUAGCGAGACUGCCGGUGACAAACCGGAGGAAGGUGGGGAUGACGUCAAGUCCUCAUGGCCCUUAUGGGUAGGGCUUCACACGUCAUACAAUGGUCGGUACAAAGGGUCGCCAAGCCGCGAGGUGGAGCCAAUCCCAGAAAGCCGAUCGUAGUCCGGAUUGCAGGCUGCAACUCGCCUGCAUGAAGUCGGAAUCGCUAGUAAUCGUGGAUCAGCAUGUCACGGUGAAUACGUUCCCGGGUCUUGUACACACCGCCCGUCACACCAUGGGAGCGGGUUCCGCCAGAAGUAGGUAGCCUAACCGCAAGGAGGGCGCUUACCACGGCGGGGUUCGUGACUGGGGUGAAGUCGGAACAAGGUAGCCGUAGGGGAACCUGCGGCUG
rnacentral:rRNA from 1 species